UACGGAGGGUGCGAGCGUUGUCCGGAGUCACUGGGCGUAAAGCGCGCGCAGGCGGUCUUCCAAGUCAGUGGUGAAAGCCCCGGAGCUCAACUCCGGAACUGCCAUUGAAACUGUUGGACUUGAGUACGAGAGAGGUGAGUGGAAUUCCCAGUGUAGAGGUGAAAUUCGUAGAUAUUGGGAAGAACACCGGUGGCGAAGGCGGCUCACUGGCUCGUAACUGACGCUCAGGCGCGACAGCGUGGGGAGUCAAACAGG
rnacentral:rRNA from 1 species